CUCCUCCGUCUGAGAGAAGGCUGACCGUGGGGCUGCUGUCAGUGACGCCGGAAGGAGAGGGAGCAUCCGAGCCCGGGGGCUCAGCCGUGUGUUUGGAAGAUGAUGAUCCCAAGGUCACCGCCGUAUCUGUGCUGGAAGAAGGGCCAGGGAAACUGCCAAAAACGAUGGAAAUCACUGCGGAAAUGAAACAUCAACUGAAGAAGGAAAUUCAAAGAUUUGGACAACAAUAUGAUAGAGUCUUCAAACUGCUUGAAGGAGUGCAAGAACCUCUGGAAUUGCGGCAAAAAUUUUGUCGCAUUUUGCAGGAGGAAGGCAACAAGAUUUAAAAGACAAGACUUAAUAAGCCACCUUGAGACAGUACUAGAAAAAUUGGAAUCAGACCAAAUUCUCAACGAAGAUAAUCCCACCCCAAAUUUAUAAUCCUACUAGUGAAAUGAUCAAUAACAAACCAGAACAAGAUGGCUGCCUUAGAAUGGAACCCGAUAUUGUUGAUGCCUCCUCACACGUGUUAGUUAAGACAAUUGUCUUCUUGAGGCCAAGAAAAAGAGUUGGAACUUAAAUGUUAUAAAUUUCUGUUAUUAAAAGCUGGGCAUUUUCCCUAAGUA